GACAAGGAAAUGUUGUGCACCCAGACUGCCACCUUAAUGUGCUUCCCACAGCACUCAAUUGAUGGGACCCCUUUUGGGCUCAUCCUGAGGCUCUGGGAGGUCUGCCUUCUGCAGGGCGAGCACAAGCUCACAGCCAGGACAUAAGCGGCAUUCAAACUGUCUCUCUUUGGCCCAUGGGAGCUCCUUCAGGACAUGCUGUCUCAGGCCUGGACUCUUGAGGACCACGUGGUGCUCAGGCCUCCAUGGUCGAGUUGAGAAGGACACACUGCGACCUGCAUCCCACGUCCUGGGCCUGGAGCGAGUGUCCCUGGCACCCAGGCCUCUGUGGGCAUCCCUCAGCAUGCAGACCCUCCCCAAGGGGGAUGGGCUGGCCCUCCGUGGCCCACCAGCCCAGCUCCAGAAGUCCAGAAGCUGACCCUGAGGCCAAGGCCCAGCAGCAUGAGGGGACUUCUGCAGAGCCCCGGGCAGCAGGACACUCUCUGGGGGCUCAGCCGCCCAGAGUGCAGCAAGUCUGUUCCUAUCUCAGGACAGACCCCAGGAUUUUGGGCGAUUUCUGUGUGGGUGUCCUCUCCCAAAACUCCCCAUGUACCUGGACAUCCAGGGCUCAUGGUUUCUACAGUGCAGCUUUGA
rnacentral:lncRNA from 1 species